GCGCUUCUUGGAUAGGCCAGGAAGCAUGCCUCUUUGAGUAUCGUUUUCACCCCAGCUCGACCGCUCUUUUUUUGUAAUAAGAAGAGAGUGUGUUCGGAGAAUGAGUUUUGUCUUGUCUGAAAUAGAUAAGUCACUUUAAAUGCUGUGAGUGUUUUUAAUCGCUAAAAAAAUACUAUCUAUGUUGGUUAGUUUCGGUCUAAUCAUUUAGUAGUAAUAUGGAUAAUCUCUAUUUAUAUUACAACGCUAAGUGGUAUAAAAAGGCUAGCUAAUGUUAUCUGCAUGGACAAGUUUUUUUUGUUGAUUAAUUUAAUCAGCACUCAGUGGAAAUUAUCUAAUACUUAAAUGUAUACUAUUUUUGAAUUAGAUCUCAAAUGAAGCAAGACUACCCGCUGAACUUAAGCAUAUUAUUAAGCGGAGGAAAAGAAACUAACAAGGAUGCCCUCAGUAACGGCGAGUGAAGCGGGCGAAGCUCAACCUGAAAAUCGGAUAUCCAAGCGGGUGUUCGAAUUGUGGGCUAGAGACGCGUGAUCAGUGUGUGACCUAGGUAUAAAUCUUUUGAAACAAGGUAUCACAGAGGGUGAGAAUCCCGUCUUUGACCUAGAGUUUUCGCCACGUACGAUCCGUGUUCACAGAGUCGAGUUGUUGGGAUUGCAGC
rnacentral:rRNA from 1 species